AGGAACCGAAAGGCGACCGACCUUCGGGAGCUUGCACAGGUGCUGCAUGGCUGUCGUCAGCUCGUGUCGUGAGAUGUUCGGUUAAGUCCGCUAACGAGCGCAACCCUCGCUGUGUGUUACAAGUGUCACACGGUACUGCCGGUCUUAAGCCGGAGGAAGGUGGGGAUGACGUCAAGUCAGCAUGGCCUUUAUGUCCUGGGCUACACACACGCUACAAUGGCCAACACAAUAGGUUGCUAAGCCGCGAGGUGGAGCCAAUCCUCAAAGUUGGUCUCAGUUCAGAUUGCAGGCUGCAACCCGCCUGCAUGAAGAUGGAGUUGCUAGUAACCGCAGGUCAGCUAUACUGCGGUGAAUACGUUCCCGGGGCUU
rnacentral:rRNA from 1 species